rnacentral:rRNA from 1 species
AGUCUGCAACUCGACUACAUGAAGCUGGAAUCGCUAGUAAUCGCGGAUUAGAAUGCCGCGGUGAAUACGUUCCCGGGUCUUGUACACACCGCCCGUCACACCAUGGGAGUCGGGAAUGCCCGAAGCCAGUGACCCAAGCGAGAGCAGGGAGCUGUCGAAGGCAGGCCGGAUAACUGGGGUGAAGUCGUAACAAGGUACC